rnacentral:rRNA from 14 species
AAUUAGAGUUUGAUCCUAGCUCAGGGUGAACGCUGGCGGCGUGGAUGAGGCAUGCAAGUCGAAUGGGUUUAGACCCAUGGCAGACGAGGUAGGAACACGUAGGUACAUACCCCAAAGUCAGGGAUAAUCUGUCGAAAGGCAGGAUAAUACCUGAUAGUCUCUUCGGAGUAAAGAUUUAUCGCUUUGGGAAUGGCCUGCGGGCUAUCAGCUAGUUGGUACGGUAACGGCGUACCAAGGCUACGACGGCUAGGGGAGGUGAGAGCCUGACCCCCACCGAUGGAACUGCGACACGGUCCAUACUCCUACGGGAGGCCGCAGUCGAGAAUCUUCCGCAAUGGACGAAAGUCUGACGGAGCGACGCCGCGUGGUGGAUGAAGCCUUUAGGGGCGUAAACACCUUUUAUGAGGGAGGAAGUUUAUUGACGUUACCUCAUGAAUAAGGGGCUCCCAAUUCUGUGCCAGCAGGAGCGGUAAUACAGAAGCCUCAAGCGUUACCCGGAUUCACUGGGCGUAAAGGGUGCGUAGGUGGUUAUAUUAGUCGGAUGUUAAAUCCUGGGGCUCAACCUCAGGCUCGCAUUCGAAACGGUAUAACUAGAGGAUGUGAGAGGUUGAGAGAACUCAUGGUGUAGGGGUGAAAUCCGUUGAUAUCAUGGGGAAUACCAAAUGCGAAGGCACUCAACUGGCGCAUUCCUGACACUGAGGCACGAAAGCGUGGGUAGCGAAC